rnacentral:rRNA from 1 species
AAUAUUUGACAAUGGGGGCAACGCUGAUCCAGCCAUGCCGCGUGUGGGAAGAAGGUCUUCGGCUUGUACAGCACUUUAAGUUGGGAGGAAGGGCUUUAGGUUAUUACCCUGAAGCUCUGACGUUACCAACAGAAUAAGCACAGGCUAACUCGGUGCCAGCAACCCUGGUAAUAAAGAGGGUGCAAGCGUUAAUCGGAAUUACUGGGUGUAAAGCGCGGGUAGGUGGUUAAGUAAGAUGGGUGUGAAAUCCCCGGGCUUAACCUGGGAACUGCUUUCAUAACUGCUGAGCUAGAGUAAGGUAGAGGGCAGUGGAAUUUCCUGUGUAGCGGUGAAAUGCGUAGAUAUAGGAAGGAACACCAGUGGCGAAGGCGACUACCUGGACUGAUACUGACACUGAGGUGCGAAAGCGUGGGGAGCAAAC